rnacentral:rRNA from 1 species
UACGUAGGGCGCAAGCGUUAUCCGGAAUUAUUGGGCGUAAAGAGCUCGUAGGCGGUUUGUCGCGUCUGCCGUGAAAGUCCGGGGCUCAACUCCGGAUCUGCGGUGGGUACGGGCAGACUAGAGUGAUGUAGGGGAGACUGGAAUUCCUGGUGUAGCGGUGAAAUGCGCAGAUAUCAGGAGGAACACCGGUGGCGAAGGCGGGUCUCUGGGCCGGUACCGACGCUGAGGAGCGAAAGCGUGGGGAGCGAACAGG